rnacentral:lncRNA from 1 species
CUCUCUCUACUCUUUCUUUCUCUCUCUCUUCCCUCCCAAUUCCAAACACUGUUACAUUGCAAAUUCGUGAGAAAUUCAUACAAAUACUUGGGUUCACUACAAUUGGUAUCUCAGAGCCUGGGCUUGGAGUUGCUGAGCACGAUCGUGGGCAAAUCAUGGCUGAGGCAACUCGAUUCAAAGAUCUACAGGAAGCACAAAAGAAAUUAGAUCAAUAUGUUCAAACAGAAAGCAUGAACGUGCAGCUGCUGAGGAGCGAAUACAGGAACAUAUACAAUUAUUGAUCAGAAAAUGCAGGGAAUUGACACAAAAUAUGAUCAUCUUACUGGGGUGUUCGCUGAAAUCCAGCUGCAACUGCUGAAUCUGGACAAGGGAAAAUCUUACCGAGAAGAUGAGUCUAUUUUAGGAGAUCCACUGAUUGGGCGUAUUUUAUACGCAUAUUUUGAAUGUUUUUGGUUGAUUUUAAUGCAUAGUUCCUGCUUAUUAUUAUCUUUUGGAGUUAAUUAUAGAACUAAUGAAUUAUUUUAAUGGUUUUUGAUAGGUUUGGGAUAAAAGCUUCGAUUUUUUAGAAGAGUUUUGGAAGUUGUGAAGCUGUAAAGAGAGAGCUGUGCGAACAGGCUGAGCAGUGUGCCCAUACCAUCUGAACGUCUAAAUUGGCUUAUAUUUGCUUAAGUGGCGAGAAAAUAUUAAUGGGCUGCUACUUUGAUUUUCUUUUGUGGGCCCCAUUAUUUAAUUAUGGGCUGACUUUUGCCUCUAGUUUGUUUUUAAGGCCUAUGCGCCACUUUACUUAGUUAAUAGUAUUAGAUUAGGUUUCAAUUUUGUUUCCUUAAUAUUAUAUAUAAGGGAGAACAAACAAUUAUACGCCACUUUUUUUGGAGGCAGACUUGGAUGAAUUUUAGGAGCCAUUAAUCAAGUUUUAUUUUCUUCAUCUUUUUGCUAUUUAUUGAUUUAUUUAUUUCUUUUAUUUAUUUAUGCGUUCUAGCUAAUUUCUUUUAUUCCAGCAACAAUUAGGGAAGCACUAGCAAGAUUAUUCUGUGAGAUCUAAUUUGUUCUUAUACUUUAUUUUAUGCUUGUAUCUGUGAUUCUCUGUGUUUAUCGUUAUUAAUUGUUUUAAUCCAUUAGGUAGUGCGCAGUAUUUAGUGGGUUAGAAUUAAUUAUACAGCCAAUUGAACCGGCCAUCCGUAAUUGUCGUUUAGGUUUGAUUAGUGGUAAAUUGACACAUCAGGGUCAAGGGAAAAGCAGUCUUAAUUCAAUAAUCAUGCGUCAGAGUUUNAGAGCAUAAAUUACACAUACUAGUGGAUACUGGCAGUACCCUCAGCUUCUUGCAAGAGAGCACAGCCAAGAAGUUAGGGUGUAAGAUGGAAGAAGUGAAGCCUAUUAUGGUACGAGUAGCUAAUGGCUAGAAAUUAAUUAGCACUCUCCAGGCUACUAAUUUCACUUGGGGUGUACAAGGGCACCAAUUCAUAUAUUCUCCCAGGGUUCUAGCAAGUGAAGGGUAUGACCUAAUUCUAGGGGGUGAUUGGCUAAAAUAUUGUACUCCUAUUGAAUUGGACUACAACAAGAUGACUUUCACAGUAAAUUGGAAUGGUAAAAAAGUAAAGUUACAGCCUGCUACUAACAGUGUCGACUGCCAUCUUCUCAGUGAGGUGCAACUCUAUACCCUAUUUUCCAAAGACGUCACAGAAGUGGAAGAAGCAUACCUUUUGAUACCUCCUGUGUCAGGUAGCAAUGCACCAGAAGUCCUUACUCCUCUUUUGGAAGAAUUUGCUGAUGUUUUUGCUGAUCCCCAAGGCCUGCCUCCUGCACGAGGGAUAGAACAUCAGAUCAAGCUUAAGCCCAAUAGUGUUCCAAAGCAACAACACCCCUAUAGGACUUCUCACAGUCAAAAGGAUGAAAUUGAAAAGAUAAUUGCAGGAAUGCUGAAAGAAGGAAUAAUACAACAUAGUAGGAGCCCUUUUGCUGCUCCUGUCAUAUUAGUAAAAAAGAAGGAUAACACAUGGCGAAUGUGUGUUGAUUACAGGUACUUAAACUCUCUCACUAUUAAAAAUGACUACCCCAUUCCAUUGAUUGAUGAGCUACUGGAUGAGUUGUUGGGUGCACAGUUCUUUUCUAAACUUGAUUUAAGGUCGGGAUAUUUUCAAAUAUUGGUUACUCCGUCAGACAGACAAUACACAACCUUUAACACCCACCAAGGGCACUAUGAAUUUUUGGUGAUGCCUUUUGGGCUUUGCAAUGCGCCUGCUACAUUUCAAGCACUUAUGAACAGGGUGUUCCAGGAGCAACUAAGGAAAUCUGUUCUAGUGUUCUUCGAUGAUAUUUUGGUAUAUAGUAAAUCAUGGUCAGGCCAUCUACUUCAUUUGAGGAAAGUAUUAGAGUUGCUUAGACAUCACUCUCUAUAUGCCAAGCGAAGUAAAUGUCAGUUUGGCCAGCAAAACAUUGAAUACCUUGGCCACAUAAUCACACGUGACGGAGUUGCUACCGAUCCAACCAAGGUUUCAUGUAUGCUCAACUGGCCUGUGCCUAAGACAGUUAAACAAUAAAGGGGAUUUCUUGGUUUAAAGGGGUACUACAGAAAAUUUAUCAAGGGGUAUGGAUUGAUUAGCAGACCACUGACUUCAUUGCUUAAGAAGGACAAUUUCAAGUGGAAUUCUGAAGCCGAAGUGGCCUUUAACCAGCUUAAGGAAUUUAUGUCAACAGCACCUGUCUUGGCUUUGCCAGAUUUCAGCAAACCUUUCGUACUGGAAACGGAUGCUAGUGGAUUUGGAGUGGGGGCUGUUCUAAUGCAGAACCACAGACCCAUAGCCUUCAUGAGCAAAUCCUUGAGUCCUCAGAAUCAACUUCUCUCUAUCUAUGAAAAAGAAUUUUUUAGCAGUGGUCAUGGCGGUACAACGGUGGAAAUCUUAUUUACAAGGGCACCACUUCAUCAUCAAAACAGAUCAGCAGGCCUUACGUCAUUUAUUGGAUCAAAAGGUUGUCAAUCCUGUACAACAAAGAUGGCUUACCAAAUUAUUGGGACUUACCUAUGAGAUACAAUACAAAAGGGGUUAGAGAUAAGGCAGCUGAUGCCUUAUCGAGGUGUGUCAUGCCAGAGGCAAAGUGUUCUGCUCUCACUACUGUCACUCCACAGUGGGUACAACGGGUUGCUAGAAGUUAUGAGGCUGACCCUCAUUUGUCAAAGGUUUUGGCAGCAAAAGUUAUCGAUCACACGGCCUAUGAGGACUACCAGCUGCAUUCUGGACUAUUACGAUUCAAGGAUAAAUUGGUCAUUGGCUCAGACAAUUCAUUGAGGGUUGACUUAUUGACUGAAGUACACAAAUCUCCUUAUGGUGGGCACUCUGGGGUACAAGGAACUUAUAAACGGCUUAGCAAUUUUUUCUAUUGGCCCAACAUGAAGGCAGAUGUUAUCACUAUGGUGCGAGGUUGUGAUGUGUGCCAGCGGAACAAAUCUGAUGUUGGCGCUUGUCCUGGACUUUUACAGCCAUUACCUAUUCCGACUACAGCGUGGACACAUAUUUCUAUGGACUUCAUCGAAGGCUUGCCUAAAUCUGGUGAAAAGGAUGUUAUCUUAGUUGUGGUGGACAGGUUUACCAAGUAUGGUCACUUUAUUGCUCUAUCCCAUCCAUAUACAAGUCAGAUUGUUGCUAAGAUUUUCUUAGACACCAUCUAUAAGUUGCAUGGGCCUCCUGUGAGCAUCGUCUCUGAUCGAGACAAGGUUUUUACCAGUCCUAUUCUGGAAGCACUUGUUUAAGCUAAUUGGAACCUCAUUGGAUAUGUCAUCUUCCUACCAUCCGCAGACUGAUGGGCAGACUGAAAGGCUCAACCAAUGCUUGGAAAACUAUCUACGGUGUAUGGUCAGUUCCACACCUAAGCAAUGGCUAAAAUGGCUACCUUUAGCUGAAUAUUGGUACAAUACUAACUACCAUAGCAGCUUAAAGUGCACUCCCUUUCAAGCUCUCUAUGGGUUUCCUCCAACGCAGUUGGGAUUAGGCUCCUACUUGGACUCCACUAAUCAAGAAGCUAAGGAUGUUAUGCUGGAGAGGCAGGAAUUUAUCAGACUACUUCGAGAGAAUCUCAUCUCUGCCCAAAAUCGAAUGAAAACCUAUGCAGAUAAGAAUCGACAAGACAGAGAAUUUCAGGUGGGAGAUCAAGUCUACCUCAAACUCCAACCUUAUCGGCAAAAUUCGGUCUCUUUGAGGAAAAAUCUCAAGUUAUCAUCUCGCUACUAUGGGCCAUAUACUGUUCUGGAGAAGGUCGGGACUGUGGCUUACCGACUCGAUCUUCCUGAGUCAUCUCGGGUUCAUCCUGUUUUCCAUGUUUCCCUCUUAAAGAAGUGCAUCAGUGAGAAAUUGGUACCAGUGGCUGAGUUACCAGAUACGGAUUCUGAUGGGCAUUUCAAGAUUGAACCUUUUGUUGUCUUAGACACCCGUAUUAUCCAUCGAAAGGGUGUCGCCGUUGAGCAGAUAUUGGUACAGUGGUCGAAGGACAACGCAGGAUUUCGGUCGUGGGAAGACUUGAACCAUAUUCGCCGGAAAUUUCCUUCUUUUCAUCCUUGCGGACAAGGAUGUGCUUCGGCGGGGGGUAAUGUUGUGGAUUGUGAGGGUUCAGAGAAGAAGGUGAUUCAAGAUGCGAUCUUGAAAGAAAUGGGAUAGAAAAAUUUAGGGAUUGAAGAGAAGAAUUGGGGGCUAGCUGGUGACGUGUUCGUUAGUUAGCUUUUAUCAAGUAUUAUUUUAGUUUUCUUUAAUUUGUAAUUUCCAAGUAAGAAAGUGU